UUGAAAAAAAACAAGAGAGAGAGAGAGGGGGGAAGCUGGUGGUGUUGUUGGUGGCUUGGUGUCUUUUUCGCAGAUUCCUAUCUCUGUUGAAUGAAGCAGAGGAGAAAGAUUGGAGAGCCAUAGCUUUCUCUCUCUCUCUCUCUUAUUGAUCAAGAAAUUUAGGGAGAGAGACAAAUUAGGGUUUCGUUUCAGAAACCAUAAUGAAUGUCAUGCGUCGCCUCAAGAGCAUCGCUUCCGGCCGCUCCUCUGUCUCCGAUCUUGUAUAGAAAAGUUUGGGCUUUGGUGGUAAUGUGGUGGUGAAAGUGGUUUAGUUAUUCAACAACAGCUAUGGGUUCUUCUUAUUUUGAGGGUUAGAAAUUUUUUGGAGAGAUGCAAAAUAUGGUCAAAGAAUUCAAUGACUUAAUUUUUCAAGUUUUUUAUUUUAUUUUUAUUUUUUAAUAUAUGUAAGCACAGUUUAAAUUUUUUUAUUUAAUUCCUUUGUAUAUACUUUUGAACAUAUUUAACUUUCAUUUACGAAAUAUAUGGCGCUAUUUCAUUGAAUAUGUGGUUAUGAUUCAAAGUAUAGUAUAUAG